rnacentral:rRNA from 1 species
AUUGAACGCUGGCGGCAUGCCUUACACAUGCAAGUCGAACGGUAACGGGCCUUCGGGUGCCGCCGAGUGGCGCACGGGUGAGUAAUACAUCGGAACGUGCCCGAUCGUGGGGGAUAACGAGGCGAAGGCUUUGCUAAUACCGCAUACGAUCUACGGAUGAAAGCAGGGGACCGCAAGGCCUUGCGCGGACGGAGCGGCCGAUGGCAGAUUAGGUAGUUGGUGGGAUAAAAGCUUACCAAGCCGACGAUCUGUAGCUGGUCUGAGAGGAUGAUCAGCCACACUGGGACUGAGACACGGCCCAGACUCCUACGGGAGGCAGCAGUGGGGAAUUUUGGACAAUGGGCGCAAGCCUGAUCCAGCCAUGCCGCGUGCAGGAUGAAGGCCUUCGGGUUGUAAACUGCUUUUGUACGGAACGAAAAGCCUUCUUUUAAUACAGGAGGGUCAUGACGGUACCGUAAGAAUAAGCACCGGCUAACUACGUG